GACGAACGCUGGCGGCGUGCUUAACACAUGCAAGUCGAACGGAAAGGCCCUGCUUUUGUGGGGUGCUCGAGUGGCGAACGGGUGAGUAACACGUGAGUAACCUGCCCUUGACUUUGGGAUAACUUCAGGAAACUGGGGCUAAUACCGGAUAGGAGCUCCUGCUGCAUGGUGGGGGUUGGAAAGUUUCGGCGGUUGGGGAUGGACUCGCGGCUUAUCAGCUUGUUGGUGGGGUAGUGGCUUACCAAGGCUUUGACGGGUAGCCGGCCUGAGAGGGUGACCGGCCACAUUGGGACUGAGGUACGGCCCCGACUCCUACGGGAGGCAGCAGUGGGGAAUAUUGCACAAUGGGCGGAAGCCUGAUGCAGCAACGCCGCGGGCGGGAUGACGGCCUUCGGGUUGUAAACCGCUUUCGCCUGUGACGAAGCGUGAGUGACGGUAAUGGGUAAAGAAGCACCGGCUAACUACGUG
rnacentral:rRNA from 1 species